rnacentral:rRNA from 1 species
UGGGGAAUAUUGCGCAAUGGGCGAAAGCCUGACGCAGCGACGCCGCGUGGGUGAUGAAGGCCUUCGGGUCGUAAAACCCUGUCGGGUGGAACGAAUCUCCUCCCCUCUAAUACAGGGGAGGAUUGACGGUACCACCGAAGGAAGCCCCGGCUAACUACGUGCCAGCAGCCGCGGUAAUACGUAGGGGGCGAGCGUUGUUCGGAUUUACUGGGCGUAAAGAGCGCGUAGGUGGUUCGAUGAGUCGGAGGUGAAAUCCCUCGGCUUAACCGAGGACCCGCGUCCGAUACUGUCGAACUUGAGUGCAGGAGAGGAGAGCGGAAUUCCCAGUGUAGCGGUGAAAUGCGUAGAUAUUGGGAGGAACACCGGUGGCGAAGGCGGCUCUCUGGACUGUCACUGACACUGAGGCGCGAAAGCUAGGGUAGCAAACGGGAUUAGAUACCCCGGUAGUCCUAGCCGUAAACGAUGGGCACUAGGUGUGGGAGGUAUUGACCCCUUCCGUGCCGCAGCUAACGCAUUAAGUGCCCCGCCUGGGGAGUACGGCCGCAAGGUUG